CUUCAGUCCUCCUCACUCACUCUCACCAAGUGAUACAGCAACUUUCAACAGAGGAGCUUCUGGAGUGUGAGAGAAAACACGUUUGUAGGAUGGAAUCAUCUUUGUGGAAGAGGAGGCACAGCUAUUCAGAGGGGUCCCUCCAAUGCAGAAUAUGGGCAGAAUAAGUGCUAACAAUGAAGUACCUGUCCAGAAGGAUCUAACAGCUAUGACAACUGGGAUUCUGGCUCUCCAAGGUCAGGGGACCAUAGACCUUUAUAUCAAGUGGCAGGGGAAUGAUAUUUGUAAGAAGUUUCUUUUCAUUUAUGUUUUAAAUGUUCAUGCACAUGUUCAUUAUUGUUUUAUUUUAUUUCAAUAUUGCCAUUGUGUUAAUCAUUGCUCUUUAAAACGUGCAAAUAAGGUUGGUUAUUUUUUUUGACCGUAUUUUAUCAAUUCACGUUAUUGUUCCAUCAUGUUAACUUUGAAUAGUCUAAUGGCGUGUCGUCCAUUAUCCCUAA